GCGCGCAAAUUACCCACUCCCGGCACGGGGAGGUAGUGACGAAAAAUAACGAUACGGGACUCAUCCGAGGCCCCGUAAUCGGAAUGAGUACACUCUAAACCCUUUAACGAGGAUCAAUUGGAGGGCAAGUCUGGUGCCAGCAGCCGCGGUAAUUCCAGCUCCAAUAGCGUAUAUUAAAGUUGUUGCGGUUAAAAAGCUCGUAGUCGAAUCUGUGUCCCGCGCCGCCGGUUCAUCGCUCGCGGUGUUUAACUGGCGUGUCCGCGAGACGUCCUGCCGGUGGGCUUAGCUCGUUCGCGGGCGGCCCAACUUCAAAUCCCACCGCGGUGCUCUUGACUGAGUGUCGAGGUGGGCCGGCACGUUUACUUUGAACAAAUUAGAGUGCUUAAAGCAGGCUAAAACUUCGCCUGAAUACUGUGUGCAUGGAAUAAUGGAAUAGGACCUCGGUUCUAUUUUGUUGGUUUUCGGAACCCCGAGGUAAUGAUUAAUAGGAACGGAUGGGGGCAUUCGUAUUGCGACGUUAGAGGUGAAAUUCUUGGAUCGUCGCAAGACGGACAGAAGCGAAAGCAUUUGCCAAAAACGCUUUCAUUGAUCAAGAACGAAAGUUAGAGGUUCGAAGGCGAUCAGAUACCGCCCUAGUUCUAACCAUAAACGAUGCCAGCUAGCGAUCCGCCGACGUUCCUCCGAUGACUCG
rnacentral:rRNA from 1 species